GACGAACCGUGCGAACAUUGUUCGGAUUCACUGGGCUUAAAGGGCGCGUAGGCGGCUUGCCAAGUCAGGGGUGAAAUCUUUCGGCUCAACCGGAAAACGGCCCCUGAUACUGGCGGGCUUGAGGGAGGUAGGGGCGGAUGGAACUUCCGGUGGAGCGGUGAAAUGCGUAGAUAUCGGAAGGAACGCCGGUGGCGAAAGCGAUCCGCUGGACCUCCUCUGACGCUGAGGCGCGAAAGCCAGGGGAGCAAACGGG
rnacentral:rRNA from 1 species